rnacentral:rRNA from 1 species
GAUGAACGCUGACAGAAUGCUUAACACAUCAGCAAUUGAUUGGUGGCGUACGGUUGAGUAACGCUUAACGAACUUACCUCACAUUUAGGGCCAACCUUUGGAAACGAAUGCUCAUCCCUACUACUGUGCGAGAGCUUUGGGUCCCAUUAGCUCAGUGGAGAGGUAACGGCUCUCCAAGGCGAUGAUGGCUCGCCGGCCUGAGAGGGUGAUCGGCCAAAAGGGGAAUGAGACACGGCACUUACGACUACGGGAGGCAGGAGUGGGGAAUAAUGGACAAUGGACCAAAGUCUGAGCCAGCAAUGCGGUGGGAACGAUGAAGGUUUCGGAAGGUAAAGGGCUGGCAGUUGGGAAGCGGUACCAACAGAAGAAGUGACGGCUAAAUACGUGCCAGCAGCCGCGGUAAUAC